rnacentral:rRNA from 1 species
AGAGUUUGAUCCUGGCUCAGGAUGAACGCUGGCGGUAUGCUUAACACAUGCAAGUCGAACGGUCUCUUCGGAGAUAGUGGCGGACGGGUGAGUAACGCGUGAGAAUCUAGCUUCAGGUCGGGGACAACCACGGGAAACUGUGGCUAAUACCGGAUAUGCCGAGAGGUGAAAGGCUUGCUGCCUGAAGAUGAGCUCGCGUCUGAUUAGCUAGUAGGUGUGGUAAGAGCGCACCUAGGCGACGAUCAGUAGCUGGUCUGAGAGGAUGAUCAGCCACACUGGGACUGAGACACGGCCCAGACUCCUACGGGAGGCAGCAGUGAGGAAUUUUCCGCAAUAGGCGAAAGCCUGACGGAGCAAUACCGCGUGAGGGAGGAAGGCUCUUGGGUUGUAAACCUCUUUUCUCAAGGAAGAAAAAAAUGACGGUACUUGAGGAAUAAGCAUCGGCUAACUCCGUGCCAGCAGCCGCGGUAAUACGGAGGAUGCAAGCGUUAUCCGGAAUGAUUGGGCGUAAAGGGUCCGCAGGUGGCUGUGAAAGUCUGCUGUUAAAGAAUCUAGCUUAACUAGAUAAAAGCAGUGGAAACUACAUAGCUAGAGUGCGUUCGGGGUAGAGGGAAUUCCUGGUGUAGCGGUGAAAUGCGUAGAUAUCAGGAAGAACACCAGUGGCGAAGGCGCUCUACUAGGCCGCAACUGACACUGAGGGACGAAAGCUAGGGGAGCGAAUGGGAUUAGAUACCCCAGUAGUCCUAGCCGUAAACGAUGGAUACUAGGCGUGGCUUGUAUCGACCCGAGCCGUGCCGGAGCUAACGCGUUAAGUAUCCCGCCUGGGGAGUACGCACGCAAGUGUGAAACUCAAAGGAAUUGACGGGGGCCCGCACAAGCGGUGGAGUAUGUGGUUUAAUUCGAUGCAACGCGAAGAACCUUACCAAGACUUGACAUGUCGCGAAUCCCUCUGAAAGGAGGGAGUGCCUUCGGGAGCGCGAACACAGGUGGUGCAUGGCUGUCGUCAGCUCGUGUCGUGAGAUGUUGGGUUAAGUCCCGCAACGAGCGCAACCCUCGUUUUUAGUUGCCAGCAUUAAGUUGGGCACUCUAGAGAGACUGCCGGUGACAAACCGGAGGAAGGUGGGGAUGACGUCAAGUCAGCAUGCCCCUUACGUCUUGGGCUACACACGUACUACAAUGCUACGGACAAAGGGCAGCUACACAGUAAUGUGAUGCAAAUCUCAGAAACCGUAGCUCAGUUCAGAUCGCAGGCUGCAACUCGCCUGCGUGAAGGAGGAAUCGCUAGUAAUUGCAGGUCAGCAUACUGCAGUGAAUUCGUUCCCGGGCCUUGUACACACCGCCCGUCACACCAUGGAAGCUGGUCACGCCCGAAGUCGUUACCCCAACUCUUCGGAGAGGGGGAUGCCGAAGGCAGGACUGGUGACUGGGGUGAAGUCGUAACAAGGUAGCCGUACCGGAAGGUGUGGCUGGAUCACCUCCUUUUAGGGAGGCCGAAUCCACUCAAAAUCGAAAGCAAAUGGUGAUUAGAUAAUGAGAUGGUCAUUCCUAGGUCGGUCGUGAAUAUUUGUUGAAGCUUUCAAACUAUAGAUUUGGUUCGGACAAUGGGCUAUUAGCUCAGGUGGUUAGAGCGCACCCCUGAUAAGGGUGAGGUCCCUGGUUCGAGUCCAGGAUGGCCCACCUGAAAUCAGUUAACAGUGAACAGUAAAAAGUGGUCAGUGAAAAAACUGAUAACUGGAAACUGAUAACUGAUAACUGACUGAUGGGGGUUUAGCUCAGUUGGUAGAGCGCCUGCUUUGCAAGCAGGAUGUCAGCGGUUCGAGUCCGCUAAUCUCCACCUUGUGUAAAAAACGCAAAAAAAACAUAUCUUUGAUUGUCAGACAAGACAAAAAAUAGAUAUAACAAUUUUUGUGGUCAUUAGCACAGUAUGAUAAGAUAAUAGAUCGGGGAAGAUUCAGCAAUUGAUUGUAUUGCACAAUCGAACUGCUGGGUAAUUAUCCAGCCAGAACCUUGAAAACUGCAUAGUAACGCGAAAAAAAGCAGGCAGACGAAUUGGAGUGCUGAGUGCUGAGUGCUGAGUGCUGAGUAAAACCAGUGCAAAGAACAAAGUAAACAGAACGAAAAAAAGUUUGCAGAAAAACCAAUUGUAUGGUUGUGGUCAAGCUAAUAAGGGCUGACGGUGGAUACCUAGGCACACAGAGGCGAAG